rnacentral:tRNA from 1 species
GGUUAUGGCUCAGUGGUAGAGCACUUGCCUAGCAUAUGCAAGGCCCUGGGUUUAAUCCUCAGCACCA